GACGAACGCUGGCGGCGUGCUUAACACAUGCAAGUCGAACGGAAAGGCCCUGCGUUUGUGGGGUGCUCGAGUGGCGAACGGGUGAGUAACACGUGAGUAACCUGCCCUUGACUUUGGGAUAACUUCAGGAAACUGGGGCUAAUACCGGAUAGGAGCUCCUGCUGCAUGGUGGGGGUUGGAAAGUUUCGGCGGUUGGGGAUGGACUCGCGGCUUAUCAGCUUGUUGGUGGGGUAGUGGCAUACCAAGGCUUUGACGGGUAGCCGGCCUGGGAGGGUGACCGGCCUCCUUGGGCCUGCGAUACGGCCCAGUCUCCUACGGGAGGCAGCAGUGGGGAAUAUUGCACAAUGGGCGGAAGCCUGAUGCAGCAGCGCCGCGUGCGGGAUGCCGGCCUUCGGGUUGUGAACAGCUUUCGCCUGUGACGAAGCGUGAGUGACGGUAAUGAGUAAAGAAGCACCGGCUAACUACGUG
rnacentral:rRNA from 1 species